rnacentral:rRNA from 1 species
GACGAACGCUGGCGGCGUGCUUAACACACGCAAGUCGAACGAUGAACUGCCUGCUUGCUGCUGGGGAUUAGUGGCGAACGGGUGAGUAACACGUGAGUAACCUGCCCUGGACUCUGGGAUAACCCCGAGAAAUCGGAGCUAAUACCGGAUAGGACCCUGUACCGCAUGGUGUGGGGUGGAAAGUUUUUUCGGUCUGGGAUGGACUCGCGGCCUAUCAGCUUGUUGGUGAGGUAAUGGCUCACCAAGGCGUCGACGGGUAGCCGGCCUGAGAGGGUGACCGGCCACACUGGGACUGAGACACGGCCCAGACUCCUACGGGAGGCAGCAGUGGGGAAUAUUGCCCAAUGGGCGCAAGCCUGAUGCAGUAACGCCGCGUGCGGGAUGACGGCCUUCGGGCUGUAAACCGCUUUUAGUAAGGAAGAAGGGGAGCUUGCUCCUUGACGGUACUUGCAGAAAAAGGACCGGCUAACUACGUGCCAGCAGCCGCAGUAAUAC